rnacentral:rRNA from 1 species
GACGAACGCUGGCGGCGUGCUUAACACAUGCAAGUCGAACGGAAAGGCCCUGCUUGCAGGGUACUCGAGUGGCGAACGGGUGAGUAACACGUGGGUGAUCUGCCCUCCACUUCGGGAUAAGCCUUGGAAACUGGGUCUCUUACCGGAUAGGAGCCCUUUUUAGUGUGAUGGUUGGAAAGUUUUUUCGGUGUAGGAUGAGCUCGCGGCCUAUCAGCUUGUUGGUGGGGUAAUGGCCUACCAAGGCGGCGACGGGUAGCCGGCCUGCGAGGGUGGACGGCCACAUUGGGACUGAGGUACGGCCCAGACGCCUACGGGAGGCAGCAGUGGGGAAGAUUGCACAAUGGGCGCAAGCCGGAUGCAGCGACGCCGCGGGGGGGAUGACGGCCUUCGGGUUGUAAAAUCCGUUCGCUAGGGACGAAGCUUUGUGUGACGGUACCUAGAUAAGAAGCACCGGCUAACUACGUG